GGAACUAACCCCUCUCUGUUCCUCUCCAGGGCCAGAAAUACCUUUGGGCAGCCUCCCUCCUCCAAUCCUGAGCGAUAUGCUGCUCCAGAAGUGGGAUGGGUAUUUUCCUUCCCUUCCGGUCUCCAGCUGCAGCCCUGCCGGCCAUCCAUGCUGGUGCAAAAUGUGUUUGCAGGGAGGAGGAGGGAAGGCAAGGAGGAAGAGAAUGAGGAGAACCAGGCUUUGUGGAAGAAGCACAGGGAAGUAGCCCUGGAGAACUGGGUUCCAUUCUUGAUUCUGCAACACGGUGCCCUGUGUGGCUUUGGGAAUGUCAUUUGAUCUCCCCGUGCAUGAGUUGCCUAUCUGUAAUACAUGGAUUGUAAUCAUUCCUCAUUCCUUUUCUUCUUGGGCCAAAACUAUUUUUUUAUUACCUAUAUAUGUAUAUAUAAUGCUUGGUGCAAUGGAACCCUGAUUUUGGUUGGGCCUCUUAGAUGCUACCAUUAUACAGCUCUGGAUAUUCCUGGGAAUUAAAGGUAUACAAAGGCAAAGCAUUUCCCCCUGUUGGAUACCUAAUGCAUUUCUAGCUUAAGGACAAGAAGUGCCCCAGGCCAUUAACUAGAACAGCUGUAUCCUUCCCAAAGUAUGCAGGAGGGAACAGGUACACUACUCCUGUUCCACGUGACAGUUGUAAUUUUUAUGCAGUUGAAGAACACAUUGAUCCAAAAAGAUUUAGGGUGGAAUCAGUUGAGUGGCAGUACACGUGGACCUUCCCAAUGCCAUGAGUAUAUAUUCAAUUUUCUGAACAGAACUGAGUUAUAACAUAUCUCUCUAGAGAGCAUAAGUCUUCACUUUAUUUUGCAGUUGCCCUCAUUUGAAUAGCUACCAUGUGGUUGCCUAUUAAAUUAAUUUUAGUUCUGGCAUGUAAGACUUAAGAGAAAAUGUAGAAUUCCCGCCAAGAGCAAUGUUAGCAAUAUGCAAGUGUUUUUUUCUGAAUGUGAACAUGCUGGAGGUGCCGGUGUUCCUCAGAAAUAUAUUGCUGGGGCACAAAAUAUGUCCUCAUGUAGGUAAUCUCUAAAAAUAUACACAUUUUACCCUUUCACUUCUUUUCCUGUUUGCUCUUGAUAAUAAACUAUGAAACAAGUAAUACUAAAGUGUGUGGUCUCCUUGCAAGAGUUUAUUUUGUCCAAUGUGACAUUUCCAUUAUACAGGUUCUGGCAAGCAAGCAUGUCCCAUUUCAAUAGA